rnacentral:misc_RNA from 1 species
CUCUAAUCCAAUUACAAUCAAUAUUCCCAGAAAGAGAAGCUUUUGCAACAUUAUCUGCAGCUCUAUUUGCAGAUCUCUUUACAAGAAAGAAUACCACUGAAUUAAACUGAGGGAUUAAAGCUUUAAUGGCUAAGAUUGCGGCAUUAAUUUCCCAGCUACAACUAGGAUCUGAAGACAUGAUAGCUUGAUGCACUUGGGAAGAAUCUGUUUCAAAAACCACAGAAAUUAGUCCUAUUCGUUUUGCCAACUUCAUGGCUUCGAGGAUUGCUCUUGCUUCACCAACUAGAGGAGAUCCAACUUGAGUGCUGCAUGUCUCUGUCUUCGUCCAUUGGCUGGAAGAAGAUCUUCGGGUCUCUUGAACUAGAACUUCCUGCAAAGCGCUAA